rnacentral:tRNA from 1 species
GCCUCAGUGGCCAAGUGGUAAGGCGUCGGUCUCGUAAACCGAAGAUCAUGGGUCCAAACCCCAUCUGAGGCU